rnacentral:rRNA from 1 species
UCAAUCCUCUCAGAUUAAGCCAUGCAUGUGUAAGUGUAAAUAUACAACUUUGGACUGCGAAUGGCUCAUUAUAUCAGUUAUAGUUUAUUUGAUGAAGAGACUACUUGGAUAACCGUAGUAAUUCUAGGGCUAAUACAUGAUAAAGUCCUCUGGACUGGUGUGAUUAUUAAUGUGAAAAUAUAUGCUUCCUAUGAUAGAGAAAAUAACUCCUAUCUCUCUGUGCUUAAUGUAUGAUGAGUCUUUCUUCUGCUGCCCUAUCUUCUUUCGAUGGUGGUUAUGCUACUACCAUGGCAACAACUGGUAACGAAUAAUUUGGGUACUAUUUCGAAGAAGGAUCCUGAAAGAUUGCUACCACAUCCGAAGAAGGCAGCAGGCGCAUAAUCACCUCCUCCUGAGCGAGGAGGUGGCGACAAAAAUCACGAUGCGGGACUAUCCGUCUUGGAUUGAUUGAGACACUGACUACUCUUUCACUAUGCAUGGAGGCAGUCUGGUGCCCCGGCGCUGCAUUUCAACUCCAUAUAUAUAUUACGUGUGAAAAAAAACUCA